rnacentral:rRNA from 1 species
UUGUUGGUGGGGUAACGGCUCACCAAGGCCACGAUGUCUAGGGGUUCUGAGAGGAAGGUCCCCCACACUGGAACUGAGACACGGUCCAGACUCCUACGGGAGGCAGCAGUGAGGAAUAUUGGACAAUGGUCGGAAGACUGAUCCAGCCAUGCCGCGUGAAGGUUACGGUCCUAUGGAUUUUAAACUUCUUUUGUAUGGAAGCAAUAAGGUGCACGCGUGCAUCGAUGAGAGUACCAUACGAAUAAGCAUCGGCUAACUCCGUGCCAGCAGCCGCGGUAAUACGGAGGAUGCAAGCGUUAUCCGGAUUUAUUGGGUUUAAAGGGUGCGUAGGCGGAUUAAUAAGUCAGCGGUGAAACUCACAGGCUCAACCUGUGCCGUGCCGUUGAAACUGUUUAUCUUGAAUGCGGAUGCUGUGGGAGGAAUGUGUAGUGUAGCGGUGAAAUGCAUAGAUAUUACACAGAACACCGAUUGCGAAGGCAUCUCACAAAGCCGUGAUUGACGCUGAGGCACGAAAGUGUGGGGAUCAAACAGGAUUAGAUACCCUGGUAGUCCACUACUGUAAACGAUGAUAACUCGCUGCCGGCGAUAUAUAGUCGGUGGCCCAGCGAAAGCGAUAA